rnacentral:ncRNA from 1 species
CUUGAUUUUGAUUAUUUAAGUUAGUUUUUAAGAAAAUUUAGCAUGCAAUUAUUUUUAAAUAAAUUUUUGGCAGUUUUUUAUUUUAUUAAGUUAUAGAGUUAUAGAUUAAGUUAUUUUAAAAAGGAUUAGUCUAAACUGUGCCAGCAACUGCGGUUAUACAUUUAAUUCAAAUUAAUUGUCUAAGCAAAAAGUAAUUAAUUUAUUAGUAUUAUUUUAUAAAUAAAAUUAAGGUAAAAUUUUUUAUAUUAUUUAGUAUAAAAAUUUAUGAAAUAUAUGUAUUAAAAUAGGAUUAGAUACCCUAGUAUAAAUAUAUUUAAAAUGGUUUGCUUAAUUAGUAUUUGUUAUAACAUUAAAUUUAAAAGAUUUGGCGGUAAAUUAUUUAACUAGAGGAACUUGUUUUGUAAUCGAUAAUCCACGUUUAAUUUUUCCUUUAUUUGUUAGUCGGCUUAUAUACCGUUGUUUAUGAAAAUUUUUAUUGAAUUUUAAUUUUCUCAAUAAAUUUUUUAAUAAAAUCAAGUCAAGGUGUAGUUUAUAUAAAGGUUUAUAAUGAGUUACUUUUAUUUAUAAUAGUAGAUUAUAUUUUGAAAGGAGUAUAUAAAAAAGGAUUUAUUAGUAAUAAUUAAUUAAAUAGUAGUUAUGAAUUAUAUACUAAUUUAUGUACAUAUUGCCCGUCGCUUUCAUUGUGAAAUUAAUUUCUUAAAAUGAAAUAAGUCGUAACAUAGUAAGUCUACUGGAAAGUUGACUUAGAUUG